GGCCUCUCAGGGUCACACCUGGAGAGUUUCCAGUACUCUUCCAGUCUUGGCUAAGGGAGAGAGAGUCAAGCAGAGGCCUAUCCAUUCCAUUCCUAGCUUGAACAAUGGCUAGCCAGUGGAAGGCAAUAUGCUACAAGU